UGCUAACAGCCCUGGGACUGCGUGCACUAGCUGGCAUUAAUUCCAUUACUUCCAACCUUACCCACCUCAAACCACAAGAAAACCACCCUCCCUUAUGCCUAUGAAGAACAGAAGAAAAAUACAACUAAAGAUAAAAAAAAGUUUGGAGUAUUUUGACCUACAACUAACAGUAGCUGUGGAUGAAGGACUCCAGGCUGACGAAACACUUCACGCCAUCCUCUGCAUCACAACAAACUUCAGCAAGAUAACGUCCUUGACAUAGUUCUCCAAAGUAAUCUAAAA